CACGUAGGCGGAUCGGAAAGUUGGGGGUGAAAUCCCGGGGCUCAACCCCGGAACUGCAUCCGAUACUGCCGUGCUAGAGGAUUGGAGAGGUAGCUGGAAUUCACGGUGUAGCAGUGAAAUGCGUAGAUAUCGUGAGGAACACUCGUGGCGAAAGCGAGCUACUGGACAACUCCUGACGCUGAGGCUCGAAGGCCAGGUAGCAAAG
rnacentral:rRNA from 1 species